rnacentral:rRNA from 1 species
CUCUUUUUGAAUAUAAUUUAAAGUAGGGCCUGCCCACUGAAUUUUGAAGGGCCGCAGUAUUUUGACUGUGCAAAGGUAGCAUAAUCAUUAGUUUUUUAAUUGAAAGCUUGUAUGAAUGGUUUGAUGAGAAAAUAACUUUCUAUGAUUAAUUUUUUAAAAAACUUUAUUUUUAAGUUAAAAAGCUUAAAUAUUUAUAAUAGACGAGAAGACCCUAUAGAGUUUUAUUAUAUAUUAUUAUUUAUAAAUUUUAGAAUUUUAAAUUUAAAUUUUUUUUAUAAUUUGAUUGGGGUGAUUGAAAAAUUAAUAUAACUUUUUUUUUAUAAAACCAUUGAUUUAUGAUUAAAUGAUCCAUAAAAAUGAUUAAAAGAUUAAAUUACCUUAGGGAUAACAGCGUUAUUUUUUUUUAAAGUUCAAAUCGAAAAAAGAGAUUGCGA